rnacentral:pre_miRNA from 1 species
AGGGUCUUGGCGGUCUAGUGGGUGUGCUCAGUUCUUACUGGCCUGCUAAGUCCCAAG